CAGCCAUCUCCAAGCCACCUCUAAAUACAACAUGCUGGUGCAGUCAUACUUACAGUUUAACCUGCUAUCACUGCUUUUGUGGUCCAGUGUGCUUUUCACAUCAAACAACAGGUGAAUGCUUUCUUGCUCAUGAAUUUUUAUGCACCUGGGUUGGGGACAGAACAAGAUUCCAUUUUAUUCUUGUUUAGCUCACUCUUGAGUUUCUUUGGGUCGGUAGUAUGUCAAAGGCAAUACGUCUGUAGAUGUCAUUUCACCAUUCUGUUGUGAGCAUAUUCAUGGAAAGCCACAUCCUGCCCUUGUUCACACUCUGCAGCUCCAGCGAUCUCACUGGGGAUUUCAGAGAUGAAAUAAGGUCAGAAUUCAGCUCUUUGAGCCCCAUCAUACUUAACUUACUCAGGCAAAAAGCUUGUGUGUUUCCUGGUACCGAUACACUAUGCAAUAGUAGGAAACAUGUUCUCUCCUAAGUGACCAUGGAAACUGGUACUUGGGUUUCCUAGGUGAUUUUCUGGAAAGUGGCCAAAGGAGGAAACUGUUACAAAAUCAGAUCCCAGGAGCCAAAAGCGUUGAGUUCCUGCCUGUGCUGAAGAACCUGAAGUGACAAGAUGCAGAAACAAACAUACCAAAAUCCUUGCUUUAAAAUCAUAGUAGGUGUCAAACACAAGGAAAAAGGAAGGUUUAGUAAGCCUGUGGUCCAAUCUUCCUUGAGAAAUUAUAAGCCUGGUACGUUUCCUUUCCUACUUGUGUCUGAUAAAUGAUAUGAAAGAGAGCCAGUCAGGUGCCCCUGCUGCACAGGAGGAUGACGAUGACCGGGGCUGCACGAGCAAAGCAUCAGCAGGACGUCAAGGGAAAUCACCCUUCCCCUCUGCUGUGAGGCUGCCACUGGAGAGCUGGGUCCAAUUCUGGGCCCUUCCAGCCUGAGAGACUUGGAUGUAGCGGGGAGAGUCCAACUCAGGGCCAAGAUGACAAAGGACAGGAGCAUCUCUCUCUCGUGUGAGGAGAGGCUGAGAGAGCUGGUUGCUCAGCCUGGAGAAAAGGAGGCUCAGGGGAUCUCAUCAGUGUUCAUAAACACCUGAAGGGAGCGUGCAGAGAUGGAACCAGGCUCUUGUCAGUAGUGCUUGAUACCAGGACAGGAGGCACUGGGCACAAACAGGAACGCAGGAGGUUCCCUCUGAACACCAGGGACUGUGCUGUGCAGGUAACAGAGCACCGGCACAGGCUGCCCAGAGACAUUUUGGAGUCUCCCCCAGAGAUCUUCAGCAGCUGCCUGGACGUGGGCCUGGGCACCCUGCUCUGGGUGUCCCUGCUGAGCAGCGGUUGUGUUCACAGACCUUGAGGUCCUGGCCAGCAUCAGCCAUUCUGUGAUUCUGUGGUAUCAAUCCUACCUAACUAACAUCUUAAGGCUCACAGAAGCUACUUUUUGAUGGAAAAUAAAAGACAAAAAUGACAUAAGGAAAGAAGAAAACAGCUCCUUAAAGCUGACUGAUACCUUGAUGUUAAGAAAACCUCACUCCGUGUAUGUGCAUAUACAGAGUGUAUAUACAUGAGUGUAUAUAUAUAUAUUUUAAAUGCUUCAUAGUAGUAAGAAAGAAUGUUUAUCUAUCUUACAUUUUCUAUGACAUGGAAGAUACAUGAAAAAGGAUCAACUUCUCUUUCAAGUGCAAUACAGAGACUUUGCAGAGCAUAUCCCUCCUGGGGCUCAAAGCCAGCAUUACAGAAGUAUCCCUCCUUCCAACUCUUUGAGGAAUAUCAGGUCUCUCCUUACCUGCCUGUCAAAAUCACUUCUGAAAUAAAGGUGAAGAGCACUGAGGUACAACAUGCCAUAGCAUAGCGGAGGAGGAAGGACUGGUGACAAGACCACUUCUUCUGCAGAAGAGAGGAAGGAGAGUUCAUAUGCACUUACAGACACAUGCUCCUGCAGCUCUUGGACAAGCAUUAAAGCCUGACGGUCACAGAAUACUCUCAUAUCAUGAACUGUGGAGUCUACUGAUGUACACAGUUACAUGAUCACAGGCAGGGAGCACCUAACAGCAGAACAACCCAGUGAUGUGAAUGUUGCUGCAGGUUAGAUUAAGAACCACUGCAAAUUAAGAGCAGCUGCAGCACAACCCCCCAGAAAUAGUAGAAAGGUAUUUCCCUUCUGCUGGAAAAGAAAGAGCCAAAGGAGCUUGGAGCCUCUCUCUACAAAAGCCCACCUGCAGCACCUGCUGGGAGGAACUGCUGAGUAUCAGAAACACAAACAUGAAUCGAACUGUUACUAGGAAUUCACUUGUGUGUUUAUAUUCAUGCUUUCAGCUACAAGUAAAGACAUAGGAAGCUUGAUUGCCAGGUUUUUUCAUUAAAACCAGAAGGUCCUAUUCUAUCUCAACAGGAUACCACUGUUGACAAGUUAUUUUAAGAUUGUUUCACGGCCACAGCAUAGAACCAAAUUAUCCUUAAAAGUACUGUGAACUAUUUUGAAAUUAACUCUUCCCUUAUCUAAUUGAAGGGCUGAUUUCAGCAUUCUUCUUCCUUCCCCUCUCUUCAAUUUUUAAUGGAAUAUCUGCACUUGCGAGUAGUGGGGGAGAUGUACAAGUGCAGUCACUGAAAGCACUCUGCUUACCACAAGCACAGCCUGUCUGAAAGCACAAGGAAGAGCUCUCCUUAUCCCUCUGGAAGUACAGCAGGAAUAUCUGCAGCAUGCAUUGCACCAGCCACCACAGUGAGGGGAGAUGUGGCGAUGGGGAGGAGAUGUAGCCUGCGUUAGUCUGACUGUGGCAUGGUGACCCCUUCUGACCUUAACACCAACAAAAUCUGAACAAAAAGGCCAAAAUUUGUUUGCAGCCUCACAGGCGCAGGGCACACCUUCUCCAUCAGUUGGGUAUGAUGCCCAGAGACCUCAGUUUGUCUUAGGCAGCAUGCCAUAUGAGGGGCAGCACCUUGCGGAAGGACCUGCACAGGCUUUGUAAGGCGUUGUUGUCUUCAUAACAUGCUAAAUGUGAACCAUUGAGCCACAGCAGGUGAGUUUGCCCUCCAUUUCACCUACCUGUAUUGAAGUUUGUGGUGUAGUGAAGGCCUGCAGGGUAAGCCAGGAUAAUGGAGAAUGUGUUCCUCUUUGAGGGACGGGUGAGAUUUACUGGAGCCACUUCUUGUAACUUUGGGAUACCUACACACACAUGGGACUAAGCUGUUUUGUAAGUGUUUUGUAAGUGCAAUUAAAAUAUCAUAAAACGAGUACAGUAAACUGCAAAUGAAAUGGAUGUAUUUAAUUGCUCAUAAUUCACUUGGUUAAACAACCUCAUGAACUCCAUGAAGUUUAAAUAUCCUAAACUGUUGGAGUUCAGACAUUUCUUUGUAAAAAUAAGAGUAUUUGAACUCUCAGUCUAUCAUUCCAAGAUACACAUUGGUCAUGGGUAGAUGUUUCCUAAGAAUUAAAAGCUUUCUAUUAAACAUGUCAAAAACAUAAGGCUGUUUUCCAUAUAAUUACCAUUCUAUGCACAGCCUGUGAAAGAAGGUAGCAUGAACACAUAGGUAGGAGCCAGCAGAAGAUUUGGCAACAUUUACGAGCCUUCCAUAUAAAGUAAUUACACACAUCAGUGGGCUGAGAUCAAUUAUUUAUAUCCUCUUUUAUGCAUUACAGCUCACAUUUUAUCGGCAAUUGUUAUUACCAAUUUACUUCAAUAGAGGGCAAGAGAGACUGAAGUUGUCAUCUCAGACCGAAGGCUGCAAGCAAGAGAGUGAAAUAAGACUGGUAGGAUUACGUACAAUAGGAAACAUGACCAAAGUAAAGAAAAAUACUACAGCUGUACAGGGUCUGGAUAAGUUUAAUUUCCCCUAAUGCCUCACUGUUCUGCCUAUCUUUGAAUCACACUGAAAUAAACAGAAGGAGCUGAUGAAACAAAAUGAACUCAGAACUCUUCACAGUACUUCUUUCUUGUGACUGGAAAAGACUGUAAGCACUGAACAGUGCUGGGAAACACACACGGGUUGGGAACUGAAGCUACAUGCUCCCACAUUUUCUUUUACUGGCUUUUAAUGUGGAACAUUCCUGAAAAACUUCCUGUACCUGUGGGAAUUUCUUGCAGUGAAGGAAUGUUUUAUUUUAUUUUGUUUUGUUCUGUUUCUCUCUGAUUUUAUUUCUACCAUAGAUCAGAGGCUUUGCAGGCUGUCUAAUAACACAUUUCAAACACUUUCUUUUCUGUUAGUGAGUUGCAAACUUUCAGCCAUGCUUUAAAAUGCACCCACUGCCAGGCACAGAAGUACCAUAUCCAGCAGCUAUUGAAAAGUGUAAUGCUUUAUGAAAUACAAAAUAAACAUUUGUUUGGUCUCUAGGAUAAUUACUUCUUCCAUUCUACCUAAGAAUACAAAAUAAGAAGACCGCUAUAUUCUCCAUUCUGCAAUGAAUCCCACAGUGAUGGACCACCGGGACCUUCAUCUCUUUAAAGAACACUUCAUGCAGUAAUAUUUGUCUGCUGCUUUUCUUCCUAUACUUUGCCUGCACUGAUAUGAUUUGCGGCAGUGGGUUUAAUAAAUAUCUUCCAAUCAUUGAUAGCUUUCCCAGAAAACUCAUUCCAAGUUUUUUCUUAAGUACACUUAACUUUCCAGUCCUUCAAAUUUGCUGCCUGUAUGCCUAUUGUUGCUCCUGGACUUUAUUCUGCUAUGACUGUGGUUCAAGCAGCAUGCAUUUUGUCUCUCAGCAUUUUGCAAGCACCGUGAGAGGCAACAUCUGAAUUCCAUGUUAUCCUGACAGAUGAGAAAGAGUUGAUCAAAGAAGGAAAUAAUAGUACAAAAGUAAGGGCAGCAAGUGUCGACUCAGGAACAAAUCAAAUGCCAAAGGACAAGCAGGGAAAUAACCUGACAACUGCACUGCAGAAAUUAGUCUAAAACUUAAGGAGUAUUAAGAUGUUAGAAAUGUGAGAGGGUAUAGCUGCAUGAGCACAAAAAGGAAUGGAAGAACAAUGUGAAAAAGGGCUAUGUUUAUAAAGAAGGGCAUAGUCCACAGCAGAGGAAAUAGAGGAAAUAGAAAGAAAUAGAGGAAUGUUGUCCAUGUUAAGCCCAGAAGGCCUGCGCUCCUGUAAAAUCAAAGCAUAGGGCACCUCUCAGCAGGAGACCCGGCACUCUGACAACAGGAAGAUAGAAACAAGGUUCCAGCACAUGAUGUAUGCCAUUCCUGUUCCUUUCAGCCCAACCAGAAUACGGCCUGUGGCCAUUAGGCAGAAUCUGUGGAGAUGAAAGUCAGCAAACUUCGGAUGCAAAAUAAUUGUGCCACACUAACCUUUGGCAUUUCAAGAGUAUGAGACCUGUCUGAAAACCAGUUUGCCAUUGCCCAAGGGAUGUGAUGUGAUAACUGGCAUCCAUUUCCAGCAUGGUUAAGAUGGGACUUCUGGGUCCACCAGGCCCAAACUGCUCAGCAGGGACACCCAGAGCAGCGUGCCCAGGCCCACACCCUGUCAGCUGCUGAAGACCUCCAAGGAGGGGACUCCACAACCACUUUGUCCUCUGUUACACAUAGGUGACUGCAAACAGACUGCCUGAACACAUCUUGGCUCCUGUGAGCAUGUGGGAGUGGGAGUGUAAGGGAAUGAAAUCACGGAGAAAGUGGUUGUGAGGAGUAAAGCCAAUGUACUCACAGAUUUUGAAAACCAACACCACCUUCUCCUUUCAUAAAGUCUUCUACGAGACAUUUACACCAACUUCUUACAGAGAGUAAAGCACAUGCAUCAGUGAUCGGUGUUGAAAGGGUGAAAGAAUGAGGUUUUGUAACCUAGAUGAGAAAAGCUCCAGGGGAAUUAAGGUGAUAGUUUCCCAUAUGGAAUAUGUUAUCACCAGGAGGACAACAGCCAGCUGUUCUCGAUGGAUGCUGGGAGAAGGAAAGAAGAAAAGAACUUCAACUGCAGCAAAAUGAUUUUGGCAGAGCAUGGACAGGAGUGAAGCCCUGGUAACAGCUCAUCUGGGACUGUUACGGAAUCCUCACCAGGACUGUGCAGAACGUGACGGCAAGUAUUUGUCACCAGAUGUUUGCAUGCAUUCAGACCUGGGCCAGACUGGCCCGGGGACCAACGAUGUAUUUUUGGUGCUUAGUGCCAAAUUUAUUGCCGUUGUGACUCAGAGGUCCCGGUGCCAGCCCAAAUCUAUGUCAGCUACAGACCCGGUGCCUGUGCCAAGGUUUUGUCAUCACUGGGCUGAACAAUCUCUCCAAGUCCCUCCUGACCUCAGUUGGAUGGCUGCCAUGAGACAAACCAUCACUCAUGGAAGCGAUUUUUCCACUGGCUCUACAGACCCCUGCUCCGUACCUCACUACCAGGAAUGUUAAAGCAUUCUUAUUGUUCUCUAAUUCUUUUUAACAAAACUGAAAAGAGCCAUCCUUGAGCUGAGGGCAAAAGAAGAACGUGCUUUACCCUAUUUUUUUCCAUUUCUGCUGGCUUUUGGAACAAACCUAUUUGUUGGCUGGCGGUUAUGUAAGUGCAUCUCCUUGAGCAAUCUUUGGUUGUUAUCCGGUUGGCAAAGAGGUGGCAGCAGGGUGGUGCUGUUGCUUUUUCCUCUUCAUUUGCUUUUUUCCUUCCUUUUUUUUUUAAUCCCUAUUUUUCAGGAGUAUCAAAAUCAAGCUUCUGAAGCACUGGUACUUUGCCAAAAGUACACAUGGAAAUAUUUGCAUCGGUUAUGAAGUUUAAAAUGAGAAACAAACAGCUGUGUGUUUUCAGAAAGUUGCAUGGAAAUUUCAGGCACAGUGCUCCCAUUGUCUUUUCCAGUAACAGCAAUGCUCUGCCUUAGAGUUGUCCAUGAAGUGCAGCAUCAGGGUUUGAGAGCUGAGUGAAAUCUGCACCAUCUUUAUGUUCUGUAGCCGCUGGGAGAAGCUUUGCACUCUACCUAUAUAUUUAGCGGGGUUGAGUUAAGAACUCAUCUUGUAGCCUGGUUUUGAAAUGCACCUCUUUUCUGCAUGUCUUUAUGCACCUUGCAGCCUUAAAUUGCAUUUCCAUUCAUGAAAUAUGAAAAUAGUAAGCAUGUAAUUGAGACAACAGUGGUGUCUCUACUGUGUAUCUGAGUGCUAAAUCCCACAACAGUUCUAAGAUAAGCUGUGCCUUCUGUCACAGUCCCUGCUCUCCUCCCAUCACUUAUGAAAGAAGAUCCCACAAGAGCGACCAACUGGGGAGGACCCACAGGGAAGGAGAACAGCUUCAUAUUGCACAGUGCAAGUAUAGGAAGAUGUUUGUCUUCUCUUCCUCUGACAGUGACCAAAAUGUGCAGGGCAUGCUGAAGAAUUCUAUGUUGUACCUGCAGACCAUGAUGGGGAUGAGGAUAACCUCAUCUCUGAAGGAUGAAUACAUCCAUAACGUUCUAGAGGUUGGCAUUUCAUCCUACGCAGCCCUUGAGCCUUCCUCUUCCAACUUCCACAACUUUCUUCAAGUAACUCUGCUAAUACACAUUGAUUUAUACUUCAGGUUUUGUACAUGCAUGGGCCUCAGUUCUAUGAAGCAAUGUUGAGUUCUUCAAUGACUGCGCGAUACCCUCUCAGACCCGAGGGUUUCACUCCUGACCCAUUUUUGAACGGGCAAACUUAUGGAUGAGUGCAGAGAAAGCUUUGUAAAAUCCUUCCUCUGGGUCCCAUUAGGAUCCUCUUCACUUUAUUAGUUUUGAGACAGCAUUUGAUCAGCUUAUGAUAUGAUACGGUCAUGAGUAUGACUUGGAUGAUAUGGCCAGCUGCAAAAUAAAUUAAUAAAUAGAUAGACAGAUAAGCAAGCAAGCAAGUAAGCACAGCGAUUAAUUCACUGCUUCUCCUGUACUCCUUUUAAUCAUUCUGGAUGCUGUUAAUGCAGGAGGUAAAUGUGCUUACUUACAGUAAAAUCAUGCAAUCAUUAAGGUUGGAAAGCACCACACAGCUCAUCCAGUCCAAGCCCAACCCAAUACCACCAUGGCCACUACCCACGACACUCAGUGCCACAUCUGAAUGGUUCUGGAACACCUCCAGCAAUGGUGACCCCACCACUUCCCUGGGCAGACCAUUGCAAUGCAUUAUCACUCCUUCUGAGAAGAAAUUUUCCUAAUACUAAACCUGAACCUCACUUCGGGCAACUUAAGGCUAUUCCUUCUCCACCUAACACUGCUUUUGGUGGUUCGCUGCCGCUAGAUAACCUCAUCCUGGCUCCCUUUUCCCAUCAAAGGUUGGACCUGAGGAUAUUUUCGACCCGGGCUAUUUUCUGACGCCCGAACACCGAAGCCGAGCAAGGCGGUGCCUUCCCCGUGCCCAGGAUGCCGCACGCUCACAGGUGUCGGCCAGGCACCGACUGCGGGAGCACAGCGAUGACACACAGCGCCUUCUCGUAGCAGAGCUGCUUCGGGCGCCGGGCACGGAAGGGCCGA
ensembl:lncRNA